rnacentral:rRNA from 1 species
UAAUCAAACUCCGAAUGCCGUUACUCCAAGCUUAGCAGUCGGACUCCGGGGGAUGAGCUUCGGGGUCGAGAGGGAAAGAGCCCAGAUCAACAGCUAAGGUCCCCAAAUUUGUACUAAGUGGGAAACGAGGUGAGGUUACUGAAACAACCAGGAGGUUGGCUUAGAAGCAGCCACCCUUUAAAAAGUGCGUAAUAGCUUACUGGUCGAGUGAUCUUGCGCGGAAAAUUCAACGGGGCUAAGUACAAUACCGAAGCUUUGGAGCCACACUAGGUGUGGUUGGUAGGGGAGCGUUCUGCCAGCUGAGAAGGUUGACCGGAAGGACAGCUGGAGCGGGCAGAAGUGAGAAUGCAGACAUGAGUAGCGUAAAACACGUGAGAACCGUGUUCGCCGUAUAUCUAAGGUUUCCGACGCCAGGUCAAUCCGCGUCGGGUUAGUCAGGACCUUAGCCGAGGCCGAGAGGCGUAGGCGAUGGACAGCCGGUCAACAUUCCGGCACCACUUAAGAAGAGUGAUGGAGGGACGCAACGAGGUAGGCCAGCCCGCGAUUGGUUGUGCGGGUGCAUUGUAUGUCAGCCGAUGAGGACUAUAGGAAAAUCCGUAGACCGAGGUGAGAUACCGUGACGAGCCCCUGAGGCAUAAGUGAGUUGAGCCUUGUUGCCAAGAAAAGCUUCUAAACGAUGAAUCUUGAGUGCCUGUACCGCAAACCGACACUGGUAGAUGGGUAGAGUAUACCAAGGCGAACGGGAGAACCUUUGUUAAGGAACUAGGCAAUUUGGCCCCGUAACUUCGGGAUAAGGGGUGCCCUCUAUGGUGAGUGAAUAAUGAGCCACGGAGGGCCGCAGUGAAUUGGUUCUAGGGACUGGUUACCAAAACCACAGGUCUCUGCAAAGCCGUAAGGCGAUGUAUAGGGGCUGACACCUGCCCAGUGCCGGAAGGUUAAAGGGAGAGGUUAGGCGCAAGCCGAAGCUUUGAACUGAAGCCCCGGUGAACGGCGGCCGUAACUAUAACGGUCCUAAGGUAGCGAAAUUCCUUGUCGGGUAAGUUCCGACCCGCACGAAAGGUGUAACAACUAGAACAGUGUCUCAACAAAGGACCCGGCGAAAUUGAAAUAGCCGUGAAGAUGCGGCUUACCCGCAGUAGGACAAAAAGACCCCGUGGAGCUUUACUGCAGCUUGACAUUGAGUUAGGAUUUUAUUUGUGUAGGAUAGGUGGGAGGCUAUGAAACUAGGACGCCAGUCUUGGUGGAGCCAUCGGUGAAAUACCACCCUGAUAAAAUUUUGACCCUAACCCCAUUCCGUGAUCCGGAUGGGGGACCGUGUCAGGUGGGCAGUUUGACUGGGGCGGUCACCUCCUAAAGAGUAACGGAGGUGCCCAAAGGUUCCCUCAGGCUGAAUGGAAACCAGCCUAAGAGUGUAAAGGCAUAAGGGAGCUUAACUGCAAGGCCAACGCGCCGAGCAGAUACGAAAGUAGGGCUUAGUGAUCCCACGAUUCCGUGUGGAAGGGUCGUGGCUCAUCGGAUAAAAGCUACCCCGGGGAUAACAGGCUAGUCAGGUCCAAGAGUUCAUAUCGACGACCUGGCUCGGCACCUCGAUGUCGGCUCAUCGCAUCCUGGGGCUGGAUAAGGUCCCAAGGGUCGGGCUGUUCGCCCGUUAAAGCGGUACGCGAGCUGGGUUCAGACCGUCGUGAGACAGGUCGGUCUCUAUCCACUGUGGGCGUAAGUGAUUUGAACAGAGCUGCUCCUAGUACGAGAGGACCGGAGUGGACAGACCUCUGGUGUGCCAGUUGUCGUGCCAACGGCAUAGCUGGGUAGCUACGUCUGGCAGAGAUAACCGCUGAAAGCAUCUAAGUGGGAAACUCGCUGUAAGAUUAGAUCACUUUUAUCGUCAAGAUAGUAAGAUCGCAGGAAGACUACCUGCUUGAUAGGCAGUGUGUGUAAGUGCAGCAAUGUACUGAGCUAAACUGUACUAAUGAUCGAGGGCUUCGGCG